UGCCUAGCUACAAAUUGAAGACUUACAAUCACUUCUCCGCCAGAACAUUACGAGUAAACACUUAAAAAUCAAAGGACUUGGCGGUGCCCAAAAUCCACCCAGAGGAGCCUGUUCUAUAAUCGAUAACCCACGCUAAACCUCACCACUCUUUGCCAAAACAGCCUAUAUACCACCGUCUGCAGCUCACCCUAUUGAAGGAAAAUAAGUGGGCANAAUGAACUUACUAAAAACGUCAGGUCAAGGUGUAGCACAUAUUAGAGCGGAAAGAAAUGGGCUACAUUUUCUUACUAAGAACAAACGAAAAAGCAAAUGAAAAAUUCUUGGAAGGCGGAUUUGGCAGUAAAAACAAAUAAUUAAAUUCUUUUUAACACAGCCCUUGGGCGCGC
rnacentral:rRNA from 1 species